UAGGGAAUCUUCCACAAUGGACGCAAGUCUGAUGGAGCAACGCCGCGUGAGUGAAGAAGGUCUUCGGAUCGUAAAAGCUCUGUUGUUGGUGAAGAAGGAUAGAGGCAGUAACUGGUCUUUAUUUGACGGUAAUCAACCAGAAAGUCACGGCUAACUACGUGCCAGCAGCCGCGGUAAUACGUAGGUGGCAAGCGUUGUCCGGAUUUAUUGGGCGUAAAGCGAGCGCAGGCGGAAUGAUAAGUCUGAUGUGAAAGCCCACGGCUCAACCGUGGAACUGCAUCGGAAACUGUCAUUCUUGAGUGCAGAAGAGGAGAGUGGAACUCCAUGUGUAGCGGUGGAAUGCGUAGAUAUAUGGAAGAACACCAGUGGCGAAGGCGGCUCUCUGGUCUGCAACUGACGCUGAGGCUCGAAAGCAUGGGUAGCGAACAGGAUUAGAUACCCUGGUAGUCCAUGCCGUAAACGAUGAGCGCUAGGUGUUGGGGACUUUCCGGUCCUCAGUGCCGCAGCAAACGCAUUAAGCGCUCCGCCUGGGGAGUACGACCGCAAGGUUGAA
rnacentral:rRNA from 1 species